CUUUUAGGUCGGUGGGAGGUUUUAAAGGUGGAACUCUCACCAACUCUUCUUCUUUUACUCACCAUCUCUCUCUCUCUCUCUCUCUCUCUCUCUCUCUCUCUCUCUCUCUUCUAGGCGGGUUAUCUUUAUGGAGUUCUCUGGCUGCUUUUAGGCGAUUCCUCGGCGAGUAUCUGGCGAAUGUGGGUAAGUUAACUAUUGAAUCAAGACGUUCUGUCACAAGCUUUUUCAAAUUUUUAGGGCAAUCAUUGGUCUCUAGGAAAAGUAAGAAGCAAGGAAUCGUCUCAAGGUUCCUACUGAGGCUGAGUACAGAUCCAUGUGUGUUGUCACAUGUGAAAUUUUAUGGUUUAUAACAGUCUUGAAGGAGUUGCAUGUUCCCAUCGGUCUUCCCAUUGACUAAUUUUGUGAAAACAAGGUUGCCAUCUCCAUCACUGCAAAUCCAAUGUUUCAUGGUAGGACGAAACAUCUCAAACUGGAUCUUUUCUUCCUCUGUUACGGUUGGUCUAAUCAAAACUAUGGUUGUGGAUUCUAACAAACAACUGGUUGACGUCUUUACAAAAGGCCUUUGUCCAUGGUUGGCUUCUUGGGUUCCUCAUGGGUCGACUUGUGUUGAAGUCUCAAGCCGCCCUUUGUGAGAACGUACGUCAGCUUCUAUUCUUGGCUUGUUUAUUUCUUCAUGGUGAUUCUGACAAGUUUCCUUAUGGGUUAUGUGGAGCUGUCUUAGAUUGAUUGAUAUUGACAAUUGUGGGUAGUGAAGGAAAUCUUAUGGGUUGAUUGAUUAAAUUCAUAUUAUGGUUCAUCAAUUAUUUUAAUAGUGAUUGCUCUUUCCUCUCUUAAUAAAAGAUUCGUUGGUGUCCCUUCUUUUUA